GGUGACUCAGUGAUAGAGUGCUUGCCUUGCAUGCAUGAGGCCCUGGGUUCAAUUCCUCAGCACCA
rnacentral:tRNA from 1 species